GACGAACGCUGGCGGCGUGCUUAACACAUGCAAGUCGAACGAUGAACCCGGAGCUUGCUCCGGCGGAUUAGUGGCGAACGGGUGAGUAACACGUGAGUAACCUUCCCUUGACUCUGGGAUAACUGCUCGAAAUGGUAGCUAAUACCGGAUACGACCCUCGGUGGCAUCACCAGGGGAUGGAAAGAAUUUCGGUCAAGGAUGGACUCGCGGUCUAUCAGCUAGUUGGUGAGGUAACGGCUCACCAAGGCCACGAAGGGUAGCCGGCCUGAGAGGGUGACCGGCCACACUGGGACUGAGACACGGCCCAGACUCCUACGGGAGGCAGCAGUAGGGAAUAUUGCACAAUGGGCGCAAGCCUGAUGCAGCAACGCCGCGUGAGGGAUGACGGCCUUCGGGUUGUAAACCUCUUUUAGUAGGGAAGAAGCGAAAGUGACGGUACCUGCAGAAAAAGCACCGGCUAACUACGUGCCAGCCGCCGCAGUAA
rnacentral:rRNA from 1 species